AACAGUGUGGUGUAGUGGUGAGGUGUGGGGCUUGUAACCAAAAGGUUGCUGGUUCAAUUCCCCGCUGGGG